UUACGGUCAAAUCACGCUGAAAACACCGGUUCUCGUUCGAUCACCGAAGGGCAAACGUCUUCGCUUACGGUCAAAUCAUCGUUCGAUCAGCCAGAGCCAGGUCAGUACUUAGAUGGGGGACCGCUUGGGAACACCUGGUACUGUAAG